rnacentral:rRNA from 1 species
AUUGAACGCUGGCGGCAGGCUUAACACAUGCAAGUCGAGCGGGGGAAGGUAGCUUGCUACCGGACCUAGCGGCGGACGGGUGAGUAAUGCUUAGGAAUCUGCCUAUUAGUGGGGGACAACAUCUCGAAAGGGAUGCUAAUACCGCAUACGUCCUACGGGAGAAAGCAGGGGAUCUUCGGACCUUGCGCUAAUAGAUGAGCCUAAGUCGGAUUAGCUAGUUGGUGGGGUAAAGGCCUACCAAGGCGACGAUCUGUAGCGGGUCUGAGAGGAUGAUCCGCCACACUGGGACUGAGACACGGCCCAGACUCCUACGGGAGGCAGCAGUGGGGAAUAUUGGACAAUGGGGGGAACCCUGAUCCAGCCAUGCCGCGUGUGUGAAGAAGGCCUUAUGGUUGUAAAGCACUUUAAGCGAGGAAGAGGCUACUUUAGUUAAUACCUAGAGAUAGUGGACGUUACUCGCAGAAUAAGCACCGGCUAACUCUGUGCCAGCAGCCGCCGUAA